CGCGUAGGUAACCUGCCUGGUAGCGGGGGGUAACUAUUGGAAACGAUAGCUAAUACCGCAUAAUAUUAAUUAUUGCAUGAUAAUUAAAUUGAAAGGUGCAAUUGCACCACUACCAGAUGGACCUGCGUUGUAUUAGCUAGUAGGUGAGGUAACGGCUCACCUAGGCGACGAUACAUAGCCGACCUGAGAGGGUGAUCGGCCACACUGGGACUGAGACACGGCCCAG
rnacentral:rRNA from 1 species